rnacentral:rRNA from 1 species
AAUCAGUGCUGAAAAUCGUCUCUCAUCCGCCAAAACAUCUUCGGCGUUGUAAGGUUAAGCCUCACGGUUCAUUAGUACCGGUUAGCUCAACGCAUCGCUGCGCUUACACACCCGGCCUAUCAACGUCGUCGUCUUCAACGUUCCUUCAGGAGACCUAAAGUCUCAGGGAGAACUCAUCUCGGGGCAAGUUUCGUGCUUAGAUGCUUUCAGCACUUAUCUCUUCCGCAUUUAGCUACCGGGCAGUGCCAUUGGCAUGACAACCCGAACACCAGUGAUGCGUCCACUCCGGUCCUCUCGUACUAGGAGCAGCCCCCCUCAGUUCUCCAGCGCCCACGGCAGAUAGGGACCGAACUGUCUCACGACGUUCUAAACCCAGCUCGCGUACCACUUUAAAUGGCGAACAGCCAUACCCUUGGGACCUACUUCAGCCCCAGGAUGUGAUGAGCCGACAUCGAGGUGCCAAACACCGCCGUCGAUAUGAACUCUUGGGCGGUAUCAGCCUGUUAUCCCCGGAGUACCUUUUAUCCGUUGAGCGAUGGCCCUUCCAUUCAGAACCACCGGAUCACUAUGACCUGCUUUCGCACCUGCUCGCGCCGUCACGCUCGCAGUCAAGCUGGCUUAUGCCAUUGCACUAACCUCCUGAUGUCCGACCAGGAUUAGCCAACCUUCGUGCUCCUCCGUUACUCUUUAGGAGGAGACCGCCCCAGUCAAACUACCCACCAGACACUGUCCGCAACCCGGGUAACGGGUCCACGUUAGAACAUCAAACAUUAAAGGGUGGUAUUUCAAGGUCGGCUCCAUGCAGACUGGCGUCCACACUUCAAAGCCUCCCACCUAUCCUACACAUCAAGGCUCAAUGUUCAGUGUCAAGCUAUAGUAAAGGUUCACGGGGUCUUUCCGUCUUGCCGCGGGUACACUGCAUCUUCACAGCGAGUUCAAUUUCACUGAGUCUCGGGUGGAGACAGCCUGGCCAUCAUUACGCCAUUCGUGCAGGUCGGAACUUACCCGACAAGGAAUUUCGCUACCUUAGGACCGUUAUAGUUACGGCCGCCGUUUACCGGGGCUUCGAUCAGGAGCUUCGCUUGCGCUGACCCCAUCAAUUAACCUUCCGGCACCGGGCAGGCGUCACACCGUAUACGUCCACUUUCGUGUUUGCACAGUGCUGUGUUUUUAAUAAACAGUUGCAGCCAGCUGGUAUCUUCGACUGACUUCAGCUCCAUGAGUAAAUCACUUCACCUACGUGUCAGCGUGCCUUCUCCCGAAGUUACGGCACCAUUUUGCCUAGUUCCUUCACCCGAGUUCUCUCAAGCGCCUUGGUAUUCUCUACCUGACCACCUGUGUCGGUUUGGGGUACGAUUUGAUGUUACCUGAUGCUUAGAGGCUUUUCCUGGAAGCAGGGCAUUUGUUGCUUCAGCACCGUAGUGCCUCGUCGUCACGCCUCAGUGUUAAAGUGAACCGGAUUUACCUGGAACACACACCUACACGCUUAAACCGGGACAACCGUCGCCCGGCCAACAUAGCCUUCUCCGUCCCCCC